rnacentral:lncRNA from 1 species
UGCUGGGAUUACAGGCAUGAGCCACCAUGCCUGGCCAGAAACUUCUUUAAUCAACAUUGAUUUUCCAGGAAUAGAAGUUGUAUAAUAGAGAAAGCAGCACCUGAGUAGGGCCUUAGAGUCUAGAAGGUGCUUUCAGUUACAGGCUUGGGAGACACCCAUUACUCAUAUGGUCUUCGAUAGGCUGGAAGAGACUUGAGCUUGCAAGUGAAAUAAGCCAGAGAAUUUUGAAGAUAUAAAAAGGCGCAUCUCAAUUCCGUGUGGCGGGCAAAAAAUAAAGGAGCAGAUUGUGACAGACCAUUCCCAUCGGCCAUGCGGGCGAACCCAACGUCCUUUUACAUUGAAGAACCCAACGGGGCCUUUUACAUUGCGGAUGAUGGACCGGCUCGUGACGUCCAUGAAUUUCACGCGCACCUGUGUGCACUGUCCCUGAGAGCCGGUCCUGCCCAGGACCUUGGUGACCCUGGCCAGCUUGAUAGGCUGCACACGGCUGGUGUUCAUGAUGGCGGCGCAGCGACGAUGUGGCG